UACGGGGGGGGCAAGCGUUGUUCGGAAUUACUGGGCGUAAAGGGCUCGUAGGUGGCCAACUAAGUCAGACGUGAAAUCCCUCGGCUUAACCGGGGAACUGCGUCUGAUACUGGAUGGCUUGAGUUCGGGAGAGGGAUGCGGAAUUCCAGGUGUAGCGGUGAAAUGCGUAGAGAUCCGGAAGAACACCGGUGGCGAAGGCGGCCUGCUGGGCAGUUGCUGACACUGAGGCGCGACAGCGUGGGGAGCAAACAGG
rnacentral:rRNA from 1 species